CGAGUGGCGAACGGGUGAGUAAUAUAUCGGAACGUGCCCAGUCGUGGGGGAUAACGCAGCGAAAGCUGUGCUAAUACCGCAUACGAUCUAUGGAUGAAAGCGGGGGACCGUAAGGCCUCGCGCGAUUGGAGCGGCCGAUGUCAGAUUAGCUAGUUGGUGGGGUAAAAGCCCACCAAGGCGACGAUGGGUAGCUGGUCUGAGAGGAUGAUCAGCCACACUGGAACUGAGACACGGUCCAGACUCCUACGGGAGGCAGCAGUGAGGAAUAUUGGACAAUGGGCGCAAGCCUGACCCAGCAAUGCCGCGUGAGUGAAGAAGGCCUUCGGGUUGUAAACUGCUUUUGUACGGAACGAAACGGUCUGGGUAAAUAAUGGGAAGAAAUGACGGUACCAUACGAAUAAGCACCGGCUAACUCCGUGCCAGCAGCCGCGGUAAUACGGAGGGUGCAAGCGUUAUCCGGAUUUAUUGGGUUUAAAGGGUGCGUAGGCGGUCUAUUAAGUCAGCGGUGAAAGUUUUCAGCUCAACUGGAAAAAUGCCGUUGAUACUGUAUCGCUGGAAUAUGGUUGCUGUGAGUGGAAUGUGUAGUGUAGCGGUGAAAUGCUUAGAGAUUACACAGAAUAUCGAUUGCGAAGGCAGCUCACAAAGCCAUUAUUGACGCUGAGGCACGAAAGUGUGGGGAUCAAACAGGAUUAGAUACCCUGGUAGUCCACACUGUAAACGAUGAUAACUAGCUGUCGGCGAUACACAGUCGGUGGCCAAGCGAAAGCGAUAAGUUAUCCACCUGGGGAGUACGACCGCAAGGUUGAAACUCAAAGGAAUUGACGGGGGCCCGCACAAGCGGAGGAACAUGUGGUUUAAUUCGAUGAUACGCGAGGAACCUUACCCGGGCUCGAACGGUGCAGGAAUAUGGUAGAGAUAUCAUAGCUAGCAAUAGUCUGUAUCGAGGUGCUGCAUGGUUGUCGUCAGCUCGUGCCGUGAGGUGUCGGCUUAAGUGCCAUAACGAGCGCAACCCUUGUCGUUAGUUACCAUCAAGUAAAGUUGGGGACUCUAGCGAGACUGCCACCGUAAGGUGUGAGGAAGGGGGGGAUGACGUCAAAUCAGCACGGCCCUUACGUCCGGGGCGACACACGUGUUACAAUGGUAGGUACAGAGGGCCGCUAUCCAGCGAUGGAAUGCUAAUCUCAAAAGUCGGUCUCAGUUCGGAUCGAAGUCUGCAACCCGACUUCGUGAAGCUGGAUUCGCUAGUAAUCGUAUAUCAGCAACGAUGCGGUGAAUACGUUCCCGGGCCU
rnacentral:rRNA from 1 species